GUUGCCAGUUAGGGAUGGGCAGGGAUUCCACCCCAUUCUGGGUGAAGGAUUGUUCUGUUUAGACCCAAGGGGGAUUUUUUGUGUUUUUCUCAGGAAGGUGCAGAAGCCAUGGAAGCCUGUCUGCUUUUGGCUGGAAUUCAGUCAACUCAGCGCUGACACAUGAGAAAUUCUGAUUGGCCGCUACUGACAUCACAGGGCUCUCUAGGCUGUGAUUGGUGGACCAGAUCCUGUCCCGAGGACACCUGCUGGUGAUUCGAUGCUGAAUUAACUAUGAGGAGCGUUGGUCCCCGAAAAGAGCCAGGAAAUCAGGAGAGCGUCGUUUUAUGGAAACCAAGUCAGAAGAGUUUCAAUAGGAGGAGAGGCCAGCAGCAUCAGACGAGGGAAGCAGUCACAGAAUCAGGACCAAAGCUCAUCAGCCUUGGCAUUGAGAAGGUUUAUUGGUGCGCUCCUGUCUAAUUGACUGUCAAGAUGAGGAGAUAGAGACACAGAGCGAUUGAUGGACUUGCCCAAGGUCACCACAGCAAGUGAAGGGGAAA